UGACUUCAUUAUAACUGAGUCUUAAAAAUUUUCACAUUUCCUGUGCACUUUUAUAAACAAAAACUUUGAAGAAUUCAUUAGGGGUUAGUGCAGAUAAUAUUAUAUUUCUAGCCUUAAAAUCAAAUUGGGCUCUUCUAUUUUCCUCAUCAGUGCAAUCAAAAUAUGAUUUUUCUACUUCUACACCAUCAAUUGUAAUUUUUGGAAUAUAAGGACCAUUUUGUACAGCUUCCCAGAUGCCUCUAUCAACAGACCCCAUAAAAAUUUCCAUUCUAACUUUCCAAAAAGCAUAGUUAUCACCAGUAAACAGUGGAGGUCUGUUAAUGGAAGCACCCUUAGCAUAUACAUGGUUUUGAUUUUGACCGGCCAUUUUCGCAAAUAUUUUGAAAAACUAUCAAAGCAAGCUCUGAUACUAAUUGUUGGUAUCGGAGGGGGUAUUUUUCGAAGAGUAUAACGCAGCGGAAUUAAAACUUAGAGUAAGCGGAAAGCGUGUUCGAUCACAGUUAAAAUGAAAUUGGUCCUUUUAGUAAAAAAUAAUUUUCUUUCAGAAAAUUAAUCAAACANUUGAUAUGCGUUAACUAAAAUGAGUGUAGGGAAUACAAAAAUCACACGAGUAUUUUUAUACUGGUUCGAUUCAACAAAAUCUACGUCCAGNCGUUAAUCACUACAAAGAGUGAUUAACAGUUUCACUAAAAAUAGUUUCAC
rnacentral:lncRNA from 1 species